GGCUCGAGUUCACUCCAACCCAUGUGACAUUACCUCUAUGUUGCUUCGGCGGAGCCGCCCCGGCGCCCGGAACCCCCUGCGGUCCCGCGGCCCGGAACCAAGGCGCCCGCCGGAGGCCACAAACUCUUCUGUUUUUACAGUUUCUUCUGAGUGUGCCGCAAGGCAGUAUACAAAUGAAUCAAAACUUUCAACAACGGAUCUCUUGGUUCUGGCAUCGAUGAAGAACGCAGCGAAAUGCGAUAAGUAAUGUGAAUUGCAGAAUUCAGUGAAUCAUCGAAUCUUUGAACGCACAUUGCGCCCGCCAGAAUUCUGGCGGGCAUGCCUGUUCGAGCGUCAUUUCAACCCUCGAGCUCCCCUUUCGGGGGGAGCCCGGCGUUGGGGACCCGGCGCUAACAACGCCGGCCCCGAAAUGGAGUGGCGGCCCGUCCGCGGCGACCUCUGCGUAGUAACAACCACUCGCACCGGGACCCGGGCGCGGCCACGCCGUAAAACACCCCACCUUCCGAAUGUUGACCUCGAAUCAGGUAGGAAUACCCGCUGAACUUAAGCAUAUCAAUAAGCGGAGGAA
rnacentral:rRNA from 1 species